AUUGAACGCUGGCGGCAGGCCUAACACAUGCAAGUCGAGCGGAGCGGCGGACGGGUGAGUCAUGCCUAGGAAUCUGCCUGGUAGUGGGGGAUCACGUCCGGAAACGGGCGCUAAUACCGCAUACUCUUAGCUGAGCCUAGGUCGGUUUAGCUAGUUGGUGGGGGAAAGGCCUACCAGGGCGACGAUCCGUAACUGGUCUGAGAGGAUGAUCAGGCACACUGGAACUGAGACACGUCCCAGGCUCCUACGGGAGGCAUCCUUGGGGAAUAGUGGACAAUGGGCGAAAGCCUGAUCCAGCCAUGCCGCGUGUGUGAAGAAGGUCUUCGGAUUGUAAAGCACUUUAAGUUGGGAGGCGUUACCAACAGAAUAAGCACCGGCUAACUUCGUGCCAGCAGCCGCGGUAAUUC
rnacentral:rRNA from 1 species